UACGGAGGUGGCAAGCGUUGUUCGGAAUUACUGGGCGUAAAGGGCGCGUAGGCGGCAAGGCAAGUCAGGUGUGAAAGCCCCGGGCUUAACUCGGGAAUUGCAUCUGAAACUGCUGUGCUUGAGUUCUGGAGGGGGUAGUGGAAUUCCCAGUGUAGCGGUGAAAUGCGUAGAUAUUGGGAGGAACACCUGCGGCGAAGGCGGCUACCUGGACAGAAACUGACGCUGAGCCGCGAAAGCUAGCGGAGCGAACGGG
rnacentral:rRNA from 1 species